rnacentral:rRNA from 1 species
AGCUCCAAUAGCGUAUAUUAAAGUUGUUGCGGUUAAAAAGCUCGUAGUUGGGUUUCUGUUGAGGGCAGCCGGUCCGCCCCCUGGGCGUGUAUCUGUUUGGCCUUGGCAUCCUCUCAAAAAACGUUUCUGCGCUUGAUUGCGUGGAGCGGAGUUUGAGACUUUUACUUUGAGGAAAUUAGAGUGUUCACGGCAGGCAGACGCCUUGAAUAUAUUAGCAUGGAAUAAUAAAAUAAGAUCUUAGUUCUAUUUUGUUGGUUUCUAGAGCUAAGAUAAUGAUUAAUAGGGACAAUUGGGGGCAUUCGUAUUAACGCGUCAGAGGUGGAAUUCUUAGAUUGCGUUACGACGAACUACUGCGAAAGCAUUUGCCAAGGAUGUUUUCA